CUUGCAGCUGUAAACAUAGCAGUUUCAGUGAACUAGGAUUAAUCCAGCCUCUAGAGGCGCUUCGGCUCUUCUCACUGUGAAAAUCACUUCUUAAAAUCAUUUAACUUUUUUUUUUUUUCCCAUGCAAUAAUAAUUUUUCAUUUAUUAUGUUAUAUGGAAUAUAAAGAUUUACCAGUUUUACAUCAUGAUUCAGUUAAGCAUUCACACAGCUAGG